CAACAAGUGGUGACCCCGACGUGAUGCUUAGGGGAACGAGUCGGCUGUCUGCUUGACGGGGCAGGAGCCCACCGCAGGGCGUUAGCACUUGCUGGGCAGUGGAAGCCCGGGGACGAGCCUGGGGACAGAGGGAAUCUGCAGUCACCCCUCUGUCAGUGGAGGUCGCGGACGAGCGACGGAUAUAGCCUCCGGGAUCACGCCGGAGAAGAGCCUGGGAUCCUGGUCUCAAUUGGGAGGAGGAUUGGAGGCGACAUGGAAGCCGUCAUAAAGCUGAUCGCUCACGCGUGUAAGACCUAUCACGGGAAGCAUGCUCCUUCUCAGAAGGAGAUAGCUGCGGUCCUCUCGUUGCUUGAGAGGGAGGGGCUGUUAACAUCGCCCCACGAUAUUUGUGACCACAAUAAUUGGGAUUCGAUUACCGCUGCCUUAUCCCAACGAGCAAUGGUCACUCAGAAAACAGCGGAGUUAAAAACCUGGGGUCUGAUACUGGGGGCGUUGAAAGCGGCCAGAGUUGAGGGAAAGGAAUUGGCAGAGGCUCUAUACCUUUUGGGUCUCGGCGGUGGAGGCGAGACACCGGACCCGGUGGGGUCUGAUGGGGGCUCGGGAGCAGUUUCUUGCAGGGGCCAAGAGGAGACGGAGCCGCCAACGACCAUUGGCGAGAUGGCGCCGGCUGAGCCGACCGCGCUCAGUUCAAAAGAAGACAAACAACAAGAGAGUGAAUGUUUGUUGUCUCGUCCCCCUCCCCCGUAUCCGGACCCCUCAGGCGGAACGUUGUAUCCUUUAUCAGAAUUACGUCAGUGUUACCUGACUCAAGGGGGCGGAGGAAGCUGUGAUCUACAUGGGCAGGAUCAACUUAGUGCCCACAUGGGGAGGGACCAGACAAAAGGUCCGUCCAAUGCGGACAGGGGGCAUAGCCUACCGUCUCUGGUCUCUCCCAGGAGUGAUAGUGAGGAGGAGAAAGAAGGGACUGGCUUUGAGUGCAGGGGGAAGGAUCAAAUGACGGACUGGAAUUGGAUUAGAUCGGAGGCUUUGGGGAAGGGUAUAGUUCCAGAGGCAUUCCGGGUGAUUGUGCGAGUUUUCUACAGAAAUUCUUCGUUGGCAAACUGAAGCCAACUCCAGAACAACUGAGGGACAGACAAUGGGAUCAAGAACCAUUCAUCAAGAGGAGCACUACACCUGCAACGCUGACACUUCCGAUGUUGCCGAUGUUUAUGGUGUCCCUGGCAAUUACAGCGUGUUGCAAACAACUACAAUGGACGCAAGAACAUACGCAGAAGAUUAAAGAAGAGCGUGAUCCCUUUGGAAACUGGCUGAGCAGACUGUUUGGGGGAACGGGUUCAUGGUUAAAGCAACUGCUUAAGGUUUUCGCGAUAGGGUUUGCAAUCUUUGUGUGUAUUCUAAUCUGUCAUCCAUGCUUUGUAGGAUGCUUGUAGAACUGCCUUCAGUGAAUUAUGGAAAAGACUUUUGACUAUCAGAUUGAGUAUCAUAGACUGCGUGAAAAAUUGUAGAAGGGUUUAGGUUGUUGCGUUCAUGCUGUAACGGGGCAAGGCUUGGCCGAGCAUGGGAAAGGAUUCCCUGUUGCUGUGAUGUUUGCUUAAGAAUUGUAGAAAGUAGUAGGAAUAGUGUGCUGAAAUAUAUUUAGGAUUAGGCGUUUUGCGCUGCUUCGCGAUGUACGGGUUAGGCAUGUGUGUAAGUAGUAUUUAGCUUAGGGAGGGGGAGAUGUUGUAGUAAGCGUCUUGCGGGGGCACGGGAUGUACGGGACAGGCCUCUCCCUAAGCAUAGAGAGACAGUGCUAUCGUGCUGACCUUGAUGCAGAGAAAACAGGAGAAGAAGAAGAAUGAGAAAAGAAUGUGGAGACAGCCAAAUAGGGCACGGUGUUUUCUGGUAUGAACCAAUCAGAGUGGGACAUGACAGCACGGUUUUGUAGGUAAAAAUGUAUAUAAGCUGUGUUUUAGUCGUGAAUAGAGGCCAUUUUACCACUCAUCAUAUUGGUGUCACCUCAGUAUAUGGCCAAGCCACAGGCUCCCCUAAGCAACGAACAUCACGGUUGCCUGCGAAAGGCAACAGUUUAAUGCAAUGAUUAGAGAAAUAAAAGAUGAAUUGAAAGGGAAAUAGAACUGACUUUAUGUAUACUAUAAAGAGCAUUUUUAGCUGUAUCUAUGGGAUCAGAAGCAUCUUGUAGAGUCAGGCACUGAAUCACUGACACUGCAAAUGAGAUAGUUGAAAAGUUAUAAUUCACACAUAAAUUGACAGCAAGGAUGUUGUUGAGGCUUGAUAAGUUUUAGGUAGAUGCAGUAAUUCUACUGUAUUGCCU
ensembl:lncRNA